AUUGAACGCUGGCGGCAUGCCUUACACAUGCAAGUCGAACGGUAACAGGUCUUCGGAUGCUGACGAGUGGCGAACGGGUGAGUAAUACAUCGGAACGUGCCCGAGAGUGGGGGAUAACGAAGCGAAAGCUUUGCUAAUACCGCAUACGAUCUCAGGAUGAAAGCAGGGGACCGCAAGGCCUUGCGCUCACGGAGCGGCCGGUGGCAGAUUAGGUAGUUGGUGGGAUAAAAGCUUACCAAGCCGACGAUCUGUAGCUGGUCUGAGAGGACGGCCGGCCACACUGGGACUGAGACACGGCCCAGACUCCGACGGGAGGCAGCAGUGGGGAAUUUUGGACAAUGGGCGCAAGCCUGAUCCAGCCAUGCCGCGUGCAGGAUGAAGGCCUUCGGGCUGUAAGCUGCUUUUGUACGGAACGAAAAGACUCCUUCUAAUAAAGGGGGUCCAUGACGGUACCGUAAGAAUAGGCACCGGCUAACUACGUGCCAGCCGCCGCCGUAACAC
rnacentral:rRNA from 1 species